rnacentral:rRNA from 1 species
GAGACAGCAGUAGCCACGGUAAUACGAAGGGGGCUAGCGUUACUCGGAAUUACUGGGCGUAAAGGGCUCGCAGGCGGUUUCUUAAGUCUGAUGUGAAAGCCCCCGGCUCAACCGGGGAGGGUCAUUGGAAACUGGGAAACUUGAGUGCAGGAGAGGAGAGUGGAAUUCCACGUGUAGCGGUGAAAUGCAUAGAGAUGUGGAGGAACACCAGUGGCGAAGGCGACUCUCUGGUCUGUAACUGACGCUGAGGAGCGAAAGCGUGGGGAGCGAACAGGAUUAGAUACCCCAGUAGUCCCUGUCUCUUAUAC